rnacentral:rRNA from 1 species
UACAGAGGGUGCGAGCGUUACUCGGAAUUACUGGGCGUAAAGCGCGCGUAGGUGGCUUUGCAAGUCGGGUGUGAAAUCCCCAGGCUUAACCUGGGAACUGCAUUCGAGACUGCAUUGCUAGAGUAUGGGAGAGGGAAGUGGAAUUUCCGGUGUAGCGGUGAAAUGCGUAGAUAUCGGAAGGAACAUCAGUGGCGAAAGCGGCUUCCUGGACCAGUACCGACGUUCAGGCACGAAAGCGUGGGGAGCGAACAGG